CAUAGGUUAAUGAGGCGAACCGGGGGAACUGAAACAUCUAAGUACCCCGAGGAAAAGAAAUCAACCGAGAUUCCCCCAGUAGCGGCGAGCGAACGGGGAGGAGCCCAGAGCCUGAAUCAGUGUGUGUGUUAGUGGAAGCGUCUGGAAAGGCGCGCGAUACAGGGUGACAGCCCCGUACACAAAAAUGCACAUGCUGUGAGCUCGAUGAGUAGGGCGGGACACGUGGUAUCCUGUCUGAAUAUGGGGGGACCAUCCUCCAAGGCUAAAUACUCCUGACUGACCGAUAGUGAACCAGUACCGUGAGGGAAAGGCGAAAAGAACCCCGGCGAGGGGAGUGAAAAAGAACCUGAAACCGUGUACGUACAAGCAGUGGGAGCACGCUUAGGCGUGUGACUGCGUACCUUUUGUAUAAUGGGUCAGCGACUUAUAUUCUGUAGCAAGGUUAACCGAAUAGGGGAGCCGAAGGGAAACCGAGUCUUAACUGGGCGUUAAGUUGCAGGGUAUAGACCCGAAACCCGGUGAUCUAGCCAUGGGCAGGUUGAAGGUUGGGUAACACUAACUGGAGGACCGAACCGACUAAUGUUGAAAAAUUAGCGGAUGACUUGUGGCUGGGGGUGAAAGGCCAAUCAAACCGGGAGAUAGCUGGUUCUCCCCGAAAGCUAUUUAGGUAGCGCCUCGUGAAUUCAUCUCCGGGG
rnacentral:rRNA from 1 species